UACGUAGGGUGCAAGCGUUGUCCGGAAUUAUUGGGCGUAAAGAGCUCGUAGGCGGUUUGUCGCGUCUGCUGUGAAAACUCGGGGCUUAACCCCGGGCCUGCAGUGGGUACGGGCAGACUAGAGUGCGGUAGGGGAGACUGGAAUUCCUGGUGUAGCGGUGAAAUGCGCAGAUAUCAGGAGGAACACCGGUGGCGAAGGCGGGAUCCUGGGCCAGUACUGACGCUGAGGAGCGAAAGCGUGGGGAGCAAACAGG
rnacentral:rRNA from 1 species